rnacentral:sRNA from 1 species
AACAAAUCGACCAAGUUAAGGACGCCCCUAGUGUCAAUACGCGCAUUGAAAACACAAUCGAACUACAGCCGAAAGGCUACAGGAUAUAGGCAAGCUUGUCGAGAAAACGCUAUAACGAACGCAGUCAUCUCAGAGGGUAUCUAGAGUGCGAUCCGAGCUUCGGAUGAAUGCGCAUAGGAAAUUCGAAGGUUUCACACCGUUUUGGGCAAAGGUGGAUGGAUAUACGCAUUCCCCCACUCAAGUUCAGAAAAGGGAAAUCGACAUAUCUUCAUUUACGAAAUGUAAAUGGCCGUCUGUCAAGUUCAAACUGGAGAUACCAAGGGCAGAGUUACAGAGAAUAACAACAACUCUGCCACUCCUUAGGGUAAGAAUUAUAAAAUCAAGACUCGGAGCAGUAGCAAGAACAGG